rnacentral:rRNA from 1 species
AGAUAAUAGAUACCCGGGUAGUCCACGCCCUAAACGAUGUCAACUGGUUGUUGGGUGGGUUUCUACUCAGUAAACGUAGCUAAACGCGUGAAAGUUGACCGCCUGGGGAGUACGGCCGCAAGGUUGAAACUCAAAGGAAUUGACGGGACCCGGCACAAGCGGUGGAUGAUGUGGUUUAAUUCGAUGCAACGCGAAAAACCUUAACCUACCCUUGACAUGCCAGGAAUGCUCCAGAGAUGGGGCAGUGCUCGAAAGAGAACCUGGACACAGGUGCUGCAUGGCCGUCGUCAGCUCGUGUCGUGAGAUGUUGGGUUAAGUCCCGCAACGAGCGCAACCCUUGCCAUUAGUUGCUACGAAAGGGCACUCUAAUGGGACUGCCGGUGACAAACCGGAGGAAGGUGGGGAUGACGUCAGGUCCUCAUGGCCCCUUAUGGGUAGGGCUACACACGGUCAUACAAUGGCCGGUACAGAGGGCUGCCAACCCGGCGAGGGGGUAGCCAAUCCCAGAAAAACCCGGUCGUAGUUCGGAUCGCAGUCUGCAACUCGACUGCGUGAA